GAUGAAGAACGUAGCGAAAUGCGAUAAUUAAUGUGAAUUGCAGAAUUUAGUGAAUCAUCGAGUCUUUGAACGCACAUUGCGCCCCCUGGUAUUCCGGGGGGCAUGCCUGUCCGAGCGUCAUUGCUGCCCUCAAGCACGGCUUGUGUGUUGGGCCCCGUCCUCCGAUCCCGGGGGACGGGCCCGAAAGGCAGCGGCGGCACCGCGUCCGGUCCUCGAGCGUAUGGGGCUUUGUCACCCGCUCUGUAGGCCCGGCCGGCGCUUGCCGAUCAACCCAAAUUUUUAUCCAGGUUGACCUCGGAUCAGGUAGGGAUACCCGCUGAACUUAAGCAUAUCAAUAAGCGGAGGA
rnacentral:misc_RNA from 1 species